rnacentral:rRNA from 1 species
CUCCUACGGGAGGCAGCAGUGAGGAAUAUUGGUCAAUGGGCGAGAGCCUGAACCAGCCAAGUAGCGUGAAGGAUGAAGGCUCUAUGGGUCGUAAACUUCUUUUAUAUGGGAAUAAAGUUUUCCACGUGUGGAAUUUUGUAUGUACCAUAUGAAUAAGGAUCGGCUAACUCCGUGCCAGCAGCCGCGGUAAUACGGAGGAUCCGAGCGUUAUCCGGAUUUAUUGGGUUUAAAGGGAGCGUAGGUGGAUUGUUAAGUCAGUUGUGAAAGUUUGCGGCUCAACCGUAAAAUUGCAGUUGAAACUGGCAGUCUUGAGUACAGUAGAGGUGGGCGGAAUUCGUGGUGUAGCGGUGAAAUGCUUAGAUAUCACGAAGAACUCCGAUUGCGAAGGCAGCUCACUAGACUGUCACUGACACUGAUGCUCGAAAGUGUGGGUAUCAAACAGGAUUAGAUACCCUGGUAGUCCACACAGUAAACGAUGAAUACUCGCUGUUUGCGAUAUACAGUAAGCGGCCAAGCGAAAGCAUUAAGUAUUCCACCUGGGGAGUACGCCGGCAACGGUGAAACUCAAAGGAAUUGACGGGGGCCCGCACAAGCGGAGGAACAUGUGGUUUAAUUCGAUGAUACGCGAGGAACCUUACCCGGGCUUAAAUUGCAACAGAAUAUAUUGGAAACAGUAUAGCCGUAAGGCUGUUGUGAAGGUGCUGCAUGGUUGUCGUCAGCUCGUGCCGUGAGGUGUCGGCUUAAGUGCCAUAACGAGCGCAACCCUUAUCUUUAGUUACUAACAGGUCAUGCUGAGGACUCUAGAGAGACUGCCGUCGUAAGAUGUGAGGAAGGUGGGGAUGACGUCAAAUCAGCACGGCCCUUACGUCCGGGGCUACACACGUGUUACAAUGGGGGGUACAGAAGGCGGCUACCUGGUGACAGGAUGCUAAUCCCAAAAACCUCUCUCAGUUCGGAUCGAAGUCUGCAACCCGACUUCGUGAAGCUGGAUUCGCUAGUAAUCGCGCAUCAGCCAUGGCGCGGUGAAUACGUUCCCGGGCCUUGUACACACCGC